rnacentral:rRNA from 1 species
GCGUGUUGAGGCAAGGGGAAGGAUUUACAUCACUGGUGCCAGAUGGCCGGAACCCUCACACGGAUAGGGGUCAAGUAUGGGUCGGGUAACCACGACGGUGUAUUGAUGGACCCGGCUACUGGACGAACCAGUGCAAUGAUUGUAAGGAUAAAUUCCGGACCGUGAAGUAAGAUUGAGAUCCGGGGGAACCGCUCCUGGCUAAAUGAGCUCAGUAGAAGGUGGGGACCAAAAGAUUAGAUACCUGGUAUCCCCCGUAACGAGUGAUUGGGGUGGCCCUGAGCGUGCUUCGAAGUAACGCGUUAAAUCGACGCCUGGGAUACGCCGCAAGGUUAAACUCAAAUGAUUGACGGGGCCCGCACAAGCGGUGGAGCAUGUGGUUUAAUUCGAUGCAACGCGAAGGACCUUACCUACUCUUGACAUCCAGCGAAUUCCUUUAGAGAUACGGGAGUGCCUUCGGGUACGCUGAGACAGGUGCUGCAUGGCUGUCGUCAGCUCGUGUUGUGAAAUGUUGGGUUGAGUCCCGCUACGAGCGCAACCCUUAUCCUUUGUUGCCAGCGGUUCGGCCGGGAACUCAAAGGAGGCUGCCAGUGAUAAACUGGAGGAAGGUGGGGAUGACGUCAAGUCAUCAUGGCCCUUACGAGUAGGGCUACACACGUGCUACAAUGGCGUAUACAAAGAGAAGCGACCUCGCGAGAGCAAGCGGACCUCAUAAAGUACGUCGUAGUCCGGAUUGGAGUCUGCAACUUGACUCCAUGAAGUCGGAAUCGCUAGUAAUCGUGGAUCAGGAUGCCACGGUGAAUACGUUCCCGGGCCUUGUACACACCGCCCGUCACACCAUGGGAGUGGGUUGCAAAAGAAGUAGGUAGCUUAACCUUCGGGAGGGCGCUUACCACUUUGUGAUUCAUGACUGGGGUGAAGUCGU